rnacentral:lncRNA from 1 species
AACUGCUGCUGCAAUAGCCUAAAGUACAGGUAAGUUCAUUGAGUUGCACAAUCAAAAAGCAGUGAUUCACAGUCGAUGUCUCUGUUUAUAUGCCGAUGAACAAAUUUUGCUCUAAUAUCCUCAAAGCUACGCCGCUAAAAUAAUUUAGACUUGCUGAGGCCACAUGCUUCCUCCAAAAUGAAGUUUCACAUAGAUUAAGAACACUUACUGUGCUAGCUGCCUACUUGGUAUUAUGUGUCGGAACACUCAGAUAAAUUUUAGUAUUCUUGAAGUCACCAGAAGAGG